rnacentral:rRNA from 1 species
GGAUCUAGCGGCGGACGGGUGAGUAACGCGUGGGAACGUGCCCUUUGCUACGGAAUAGUCCCGGGAAACUGGGUUUAAUACCGUAUACGCCCUUCGGGGGAAAGAUUUAUCGGCAAAGGAUCGGCCCGCGUUGGAUUAGGUAGUUGGUGGGGUAAUGGCCUACCAAGCCGACGAUCCAUAGCUGGUUUGAGAGGAUGAUCAGCCACACUGGGACUGAGACACGGCCCAGACUCCUACGGGAGGCAGCAGUGGGGAAUCUUAGACAAUGGGGGCAACCCUGAUCUAGCCAUGCCGCGUGAGUGAUGAAGGCCUUAGGGUUGUAAAGCUCUUUCAGCUGGGAAGAUAAUGACGGUACCAGCAGAAGAAGCCCCGGCUAACUCCGUGCCAUCAGCCGCGGUAAUACGGAGGGGGCUAGCGUUGUUCGGAAUUACUGGGCGUAAAGCGCACGUAGGCGGAUCGGAAAGUUGGGGGUGAAAUCCCGGGGCUCAACCUCGGAACUGCCUCCAAAACUAUCGGUCUUGAGUUCGAGAGAGGUGAGUGGAAUUCCGAGUGUAGAGGUGAAAUUCGUAGAUAUUCGGAGGAACACCAGUGGGCGAAGGCGGCUCACUGGC